GGAAUCUGCAAAACUGAAAUAGUUCAAUUUAUCAAAACUGUAUAUUAAAUAUGUACCGGUACUGUAUAUUCUAAUAUAAAAGCACACUCUCAAAGCAUUUUCGUAAAUGUAUAUUGCGAAUAAAUAACCGGUACUUAUAAUUUAUCUUAUUUAAAAUUUUAAUAACACUUUAUUGAUUCUGCAAAUACAUUUACACUUUCAGUUGCUUUACUCUUUACUUACUGAUUUUAAACAUGCAGCAAAUCUCUAAUUCCUUUGUUCAUGCCUGCCAUGUUGCGAAAGGGCCUACAUUGGUCCUACGGCUUUUAUGUGAUUAAAGGUACUGAGUUUGUGUAUGUAUCUUGCGCUGGUUAAAAUGAAUCGUUACACAUAAAUAAAGACAACUACAAUAACAUAAUAUUAAUGGCUGAAUAGUUUCUUAAAUAAAAUGCUUAUUUUUACGACUAGCUUUCUUUUUCUUUUUGAAAUAAUUUUUUGGCUAGCUUUGCAUUUAUGAAAGCUAAUUUUGCAGGAAUUUUAAUUUUGAAUCUAAUGUAUGUGUAUUGUUUGCGUGUUAACAAAUUAGACGUUAUGACAAUUUUUGAAAUAUUUUGAUAACUCAGACACUCAAAAGUAGCUCUCAUCUCGGCGUCACGCCCCGCCUCUUUGUGACUGCAAACACAUUCUUGCACUUGUAUUCCUGCUUUCAAGCCAUAAUUGAACACAGGGCUGCAACAAAACCCAAAAACAGGACUGGACUGACCUGCGGUUUUAUUGCACUUUUGGCAAUCAACUUCAGCUUUUGUCGGGAGAGACGCGAAGAAGCUGACCAAGGGCGAUCUUGAAACGCCACCUACAUAGUUCUCAAGAUGCUGAGAUCAGUGUCGAGGCCCAAGUUAAGAGGAUAGAAAACACACAACAAGGCACAAAGGACAGCAUUUGGAUCAACAGGAGAACUUGGACCAAUGAAGCUGUAUGCUAAUCAAACUACAUAAUCCCACAGAUGAACUGCAUUUGUAUUUUGUGUAAAAUGCAUAGCAGUAUCAUUAAUAUCAAUUUAAUUAAGAAACGUUUUUCAAAAGUCAUACAGAGUAAAACAUUUUUAAAAUACAUUUAGUGAAGUCACAUUUACAAAUCUUUGAGAAAAUUUAAGUAGCAUUCAGUAAUUUUCAAACUGCAAGGAAUUCUAUUUUUUUUUUAAUAAAAGUGGGGGUUUUUUCUUAUGAAAUAGAACAUUUGCAGUAUAUUCAUCAUGAAAAAAUGCAUUGUAUUAAAAUUAAUUUGGGAAAUGCAGAAUCAUUAAAAUAUUAAUUAAGGAAUGGUAUGUCGUUGGUCAAUCAGUUGCCAAGUUGUUUUUUGCUUUAAUAGAAUUCAUUUCAUUUCUUAUUUUUCUGUUUAUUUGGGAUAACAAGAAUAAGAAAUGUAAAUAUUAGGAAUUUAAUGCUUUAAUAUUGUACAGAUAGGUUGUUAAAUUCUGUAUCAUGCGAUAACUUAAAAAUUGUUUUUAAACUUCACUGUUUACUUUGAUCGGGUUUGAGCUAAUAAAGAGAAUAAAGUUAAUGGAUUUGUUCAAGAA